AAAUUGAAGAGUUUGAUCAUGGCUCAGAUUGAACGCUGGCGGCAGGCCUAACACAUGCAAGUCGAGCGGUAGCACAGAGAGCUUGCUCUCGGGUGACGAGCGGCGGACGGGUGAGUAAUGUCUGGGAAACUGCCUGAUGGAGGGGGAUAACUACUGGAAACGGUAGCUAAUACCGCAUAAUGUCGCAAGACCAAAGUGGGGGACCUUCGGGCCUCAUGCCAUCAGAUGUGCCCAGAUGGGAUUAGCUAGUAGGUGGGGUAAUGGCUCACCUAGGCGACGAUCCCUAGCUGGUCUGAGAGGAUGACCAGCCACACUGGAACUGAGACACGGUCCAGACUCCUACGGGAGGCAGCAGUGGGGAAUAUUGCACAAUGGGCGCAAGCCUGAUGCAGCCAUGCCGCGUGUGUGAAGAAGGCCUUCGGGUUGUAAAGCACUUUCAGCGGGGAGGAAGGCGGUGAGGUUAAUAACCUCACCGAUUGACGUUACCCGCAGAAGAAGCACCGGCUAACUCCGUGCCAGCAGCCGCGGUAAUACGGAGGGUGCAAGCGUUAAUCGGAAUUACUGGGCGUAAAGCGCACGCAGGCGGUCUGUCAAGUCGGAUGUGAAAUCCCCGGGCUUAACCUGGGAACUGCAUUCGAAACUGGCAGGCUAGAGUCUUGUAGAGGGGGGUAGAAUUCCAGGUGUAGCGGUGAAAUGCGUAGAGAUCUGGAGGAAUACCGGUGGCGAAGGCGGCCCCCUGGACAAAGACUGACGCUCAGGUGCGAAAGCGUGGGGAGCAAACAGGAUUAGAUACCCUGGUAGUCCACGCCGUAAACGAUGUCGAUUUGGAGGUUGUGCCCUUGAGGCGUGGCUUCCGGAGCUAACGCGUUAAAUCGACCGCCUGGGGAGUACGGCCGCAAGGUUAAAACUCAAAUGAAUUGACGGGGGCCCGCACAAGCGGUGGAGCAUGUGGUUUAAUUCGAUGCAACGCGAAGAACCUUACCUGGUCUUGACAUCCACAGAACUUAGCAGAGAUGCUUUGGUGCCUUCGGGAACUGUGAGACAGGUGCUGCAUGGCUGUCGUCAGCUCGUGUUGUGAAAUGUUGGGUUAAGUCCCGCAACGAGCGCAACCCUUAUCCUUUGUUGCCAGCGGUCCGGCCGGGAACUCAAAGGAGACUGCCAGUGAUAAACUGGAGGAAGGUGGGGAUGACGUCAAGUCAUCAUGGCCCUUACGACCAGGGCUACACACGUGCUACAAUGGCAUAUACAAAGAGAAGCGACCUCGCGAGAGCAAGCGGACCUCAUAAAGUAUGUCGUAGUCCGGAUUGGAGUCUGCAACUCGACUCCAUGAAGUCGGAAUCGCUAGUAAUCGUAGAUCAGAAUGCUACGGUGAAUACGUUCCCGGGCCUUGUACACACCGCCCGUCACACCAUGGGAGUGGGUUGCAAAAGAAGUAGGUAGCUUAACCUUCGGGAGGGCGCUUACCACUUUGUGAUUCAUGACUGGGGUGAAGUCGUAACAAGGUAACCGUAGGGGAACCUGCGGUUGGAUCACCUCCUUA
rnacentral:rRNA from 1 species